AUUUAGUAAAUAAAAUAAAUAAAUAAAUAAAAAAUAAAUAAAAAUACAAAUGAUGUUGUUCACCUUUUUAUUCUAAAUAUGUUGGUGCGGAUGUAAAAUGGGUGAUUUUAUGACAGUAAAACUAAAGUGAACGUGAGACAAAAGGCAGAGAGGAGGAGGAGGAGGAGGAGGAGGGGGACGUUGUCAUCACGUACAGCCGCGGAGGAGCGGGGGGAGGCGGGGAGGAGGAGCGGGGAGGGGCGGGGUGUUCAGCCGGUCUCUGCUCUCUCUCUGCUGCAGCGGCCAUGCUGCUGUCCGCCGCCCGUCUCGGUGCAUCCCGGUCCUCCGCCGGUGUUUCCUGCCCGCCGCUGCAUCCCUGAAUCCCGGGUUAGCGGACCGGCCUGGACCGGGUUGUGAGCGGAUCAGUCCGGCUGGAUCCACCGGAGCAGACCGGAACAGGCACCGGGGGGGAAGAAGAGAAGGAAGGAAGGAAGGAAGGACGGAAGGAAGGAAGGGAGCCUCCAUAGCAACAAACCGGUCUCACGGCAUUAUUGUGAUGGACGGAUGCUGAAGACCCACCACCGCCGCCGCCGCCCCCUAAAACCAGCUGGAUUACCGGGUCUGACCCGGGUUUGUCCAGGAUCUACAUUACAAUCGGAGCGAAACAGUGCAGGAAGGUCACUGCGAGGACACGACCGAAUUAUCAAGUAGACGUCUGCCGGGAGAACUGUGGAUUUAAAUCCUUCAUUCCUGCUCGAAAUCAGCAAAGUGAGAUAGUUGAAGGUGAAGACGGUUCCUUAAUUUAGCAGUCCGAGGUCCGGUUCUAGUGGACUUCCACUGAUCUCUGGAUUAAAUUAAUACUUGAAUUUCAGAAGUCUUAGAGUUUAGAAGUUCUGACAGUGUCCCCCUUUAAAGGUUUCGUUUGAGUAGAGGACGACUGGAUGUGCAACACGGAUCCCGGGACCACGUCCUCCAUCUUGUUACUGGUAUUAGAACUGGUUUACGGGUAAACAAAAGGUACCAACACCCAGGACCGGAUACAGGUAGAAAACACCCGACCGACUGGACUGCAAAGACCUCAGAAGUCUUGAGGGUUACGGUUGUAUUUAGAGAAUCCACAACCAUGUUUUGAGGAAUACAACCAGAUCCAACUGGUCUAUAACAAGGAUACUGGUCUGUCAUAACGCUGAAUGGGAUUAUAAGAUAUUCUGGUACCAGCUACUCAACCGAGGUUCUGAAGUGAAGAGUCCCUGUUCAUGGUUUCUGGAAGAUGAAUCUUGAGUAGCAGGAUCUGUGCUGAACUCUUCCGGACCACAUCAUGUCUUUGAGCAAGACCCUCGAGCUGGAGCACUUCGAUGAACGUGAGAAAGUUCGCCGCGGACGCUCCACCCGCACCAAGAGGGAUGACUCCACCGCCAGCGCCGGCGGCGGCGGGUCCGGGCCCAGCUCCCGGGGCAGCAGCCUGGUCCCCAGCCCCGCCCACAGCGCCAACUGCAGCUACUACCGGACCCGAACCCUGCAGGCACUCACCUCGGAGAAAAAGGCCAAAAAGGUGCGGUUCUAUCGCAACGGAGACCGCUACUUCAAGGGUCUGGUGUACGCCGUGUCCAGUGACCGGUUCCGAUCCUACGACGCGCUGCUGAUGGAGCUGACGCGCUCGCUGGCAGACAACCUGCACCUGCCGCAAGGAGUCCGGACCAUCUACACCAUCGAUGGCAGCAAGAAGAUCACCAGUAUGGACGAGCUGGUCGAAGGUGAGUGUUACGUCUGCGCCUCCAACGAGCCGUACCGGAAGGUCGAGUACACCAAGAUCUCCGUCCCGAGCUGGAAGCCCGGUGCCAGCGCCGGGAUCGGCCCCGCCGCCUCGACCCGGCCCGCGACGGCGUCCGCAGGGGUGUCGGCGAGCACCUCCGCCCCGAAAGAGCGUGUUGAAGUUCGGGAGGGGAGGGAGAGCAAAGACUACAUCAAACCCAAGCUGGUGACGGUGAUCCGCAGCGGCGUGAAGCCUCGCAAGGCGGUGAGGAUCCUGCUGAACAAGAAGACGGCGCACUCGUUCGAUCAGGUGCUGGCCGACAUCACGGAGGCCAUCAAGCUCGACUCCGGCGCCGUGAAGAGGCUCUACACGCUGGACGGGAAGCAGCUGACCUGUCUGCAGGACUUCUUCGGGGAUGACGAUGUGUUCAUGGCGUGCGGGCCGGAGAAGUUUCGCUACGCUCAGGACGACUUCGUGCUCACACACAGCACCAAAACACCGACUUUUGUCAACGAGUGCAGAACCAAGGGGUCUCGCUCCGCCGGCCCGGCCAAGACUACAACUCCCAAGACUCCCAGCGGCUCCGGCUUCUCCGCCUCCAGGGCUGCACCCAAAGGCCCGGCGAGAACGAAGUCUCCUGGUCCAGCCAAUGAGGCGUCAGGAUCGCAGUCAGGUGGGAGGACGUCACGGUCCGGCACCUCCUCCACGAGUCCGGGGACACGGCGCAGCCUCAAGAUGUCUCCUCGUCGAACUUCCUCCACCGAUGUUAACGGAGAGGCGGAGCAGCCAGACGACACCGCCGUCGAAGUGAACGGUAAUCGCUCUGUUUCCUCCUCCAUCAUCAACGAGAAGUACCAAGUGGGCAAAGUGAUCGGAGACGGGAACUUCGCGGUGGUCAAGGAGUGCGUGGAGAGGUCGACGGGACAGGAGUACGCUCUGAAGAUCAUCGACAAAGCUCGCUGCUGUGGGAAGGAGCACCUGAUAGAAAACGAGGUGGCGGUGCUGCGGAGGGUCCGACAUCCGAGCAUCAUCCAGUUAAUCGAGGUGGAUGAAACUCCCAGUCAGCUGUUCCUGGUCAUGGAGCUCGUCAAGGGCGGCGACCUGUUUGACGCCAUCACCUCCUCCACUAAGUACAGCGAGCGGGACGCCAGCGCCAUGGUGUUCAACCUGGCCGGAGCCAUCAAGUACCUGCACCGGAUGAACAUCGUCCACCGAGACAUCAAACCGGAGAACCUGCUGGUGUGCGAGUAUCCGGACGGCACUAAAUCUCUGAAGCUGGGCGACUUCGGUCUGGCGACGGUGGUGGAGGGACCGCUGUACACCGUGUGCGGCACGCCGACGUACGUCGCCCCGGAGAUCAUCGCCGAGACCGGGUAUGGUCUGAAGGUGGACAUCUGGGCGGCCGGAGUGAUCACCUACAUCCUGCUGUGUGGAUUCCCUCCCUUCAGAAGUGAGAACAACGUGCAGGAGGAGCUGUUCGAUCAGAUCCUCAGAGGGAAGCUGGAGUUUCCGUCUCCGGACUGGGACGCCAUCAGCCUGCCGGCCAAGAUGCUGAUUAGCCAGAUGCUGCAGGUGAACGUGGACACUCGAUUCACUGCCGAGGAGGUCCUGUCGCACCCCUGGGUGACGGACGAGGCUCCUGUGGACUCCAACACUGUGAGCAGCACUGAAGACCAGACCAGCGGAGACACACUGGAACCAGAACACGAGUCCCCGAUCCUGGAGACCAAACAAGUUCCUUCCCCUCUGGUCUGAACCACAUCCCCCCUUUUUCUCAUCGACUGGAAACCAAACACAGCUCGUCAGGAAGUCGUCCUGUUUUUCUUUUGAAUGAACACUAAAUGAGUUUAAUCACCUCAAGAGUUGAACAAACCCUGUUUGCUCUUUUGGAAACCAAAUUAGUUUUAUCUUCUGGAAGCCAAACGAGUCCACCACCAUCGAGUCCAGUAUCAGACCCCAUUUCACCACCUGGAAACCAAAUGACUUCUCUCAGACCUGAACUAGAAAACAAGGCGUGUUAUCAUCUGGAAACCAAACAAGUUCCCUUAUUACUGUUUUUUGGACAUUUACGUCUUCUGAAACCCAAACAGAACUUAUCACGUACAGUUUCCCCGCCUCUGGUCCGGAACACCUUCCUUUUUUUUGUCAUGGGAACAAAACCAGUUCCCUUCCCAUCUCUAUUCAUCUACUGAAAAACUGAGCAAGUUCCCUUAAAUCUGGUCCAGAAUACAUCCUGUUGAAUGUACGAGUGUCCUCACCUCGGGUCUAAAACACAUCACCAUUCAUCUGCUGGAAGCUGAGCAAGUUCCCUUGAACCACCCCCAGUACAUCCUUUUUAAUCUACUUGAAACCAAAUUAGUUCCCUCCCCUUUGGCCUAGAAAACGUCCUUGUUUGUUUUACUUUACACCCAAAACCAGGUCCCUCCCAAUAUUUGGUCUAGAACACUUUUCAUCUACUGAAAACUGAGCAAGUUCCCUUAAAUCUUGUCCUGAGUACAUCCUUUUUAAUCUACUUCAAACGCAGUUAGUUCCCUCACAGCGGGUCAGGAACAUGUUUCCUUUUACGUACUGGAACCGAAACAAACUUCCUGAAAUAUGCUCUCAAACUUGACCAGUUAUCCCACUGACAAGUGGAGUUCCCUCGCCUCUUAGGUCUAGGAGGCACCCAAUUUCAUGAACUAGAAACCAGAACGGUUCCCAAAUCUGUGAACUAGAGCACGCCCCCUCUAAUCAACUGGGAACCAACAAGUUCCCUCACACAUGGUCAAGAACUUGACCUGUUUUUUUAUUUACUGGUAACCAAAUAAGUUCCCUCGAGUCAAGAACUUCUUGGUGUCUACUGGACACAAACUAAGUUUCCCUCCUGCUGGUCAUAAAGAAGUUCUGUUUUAUCUACUGGAAACUGAGCAGGACUCCUAAACUUGAGUCCAGUCUUUAUCUCGUAGAAGCGGUCCUCACCUGUGGUCCAGACCAACACUAAACUGACUGAAGACUCUCAUGAGUCCUGUUUCUGCUGCUGCACUGGAAAGUAUUUAAAUUCUCUUUGACGAUCUCCGUUGAACUUGUUUAAAAGGUCCAUUUUGUUUUGGCUGGACAUUAAUGAAGUCGCCUCACUGCUGCCUGGAGGACACCCACCAUAUCAACACUGGGACGCCAUGAAGGUGCUAUUGGACUCAUCCCUGUCAUCACCCGGUGUUCUCAAGGGACUGGACCCAUCUCGUGAAAACGACCCGUACCUCUGGUCUGAAUGAUGAACUCGGAGGCUCUGAAAAGCCUCAAACCACUUUCAUACGGAUACAAACAGCUGGUUCACUGGUUCCCUCUGGUGUAGGGAUUAUUUUCUCCGUGGUCCCUGACGCUUGGUGGCCAGGAUGUCUUCCAUUUAUUCUGGGAAACGGUCCAGUUCCUCCUGCCUUUACCCUACAGCUCUCCUUCCACCGGCCUGAAGGACGUUUCUCACUUCCUCUACUUGGCGCCCACCGACCGGAGGAGAUACGAGUACUGUGCCUGUUUAUGCUGCUGAUGAAUUCCCCUUAAUAUCCUAAAUCUCAGCCGUUUCUUCACCGGUUCAGCUCCUCAGAUCCCAGCUCCUGUCAUCAGCUGUAUAGACGGAUGAGGCUCAUUGUUUCAAAUAUUUUGACAUCUUGGUAUGAAAGAGUCUCAUGUCUGUAACAUAAAAGAUGGAGCAAGAGUUGUGGUCAUUAGCCUAGCUUAGCUUGAAUACUAAAGGAUACUAAAAUGGGGAAAGAGGAAGCCUGGUUACUCCAGAAGUUCACACAUUUUUGAGCUUUGAAGCUGUUUCCCGUUUCCCUGUUUCCCUGUUUCAAGUCUUUAAGCUAAGCUAGGCUAAGCUAGGCUAAUCAUCUCCGGAAUCCACCAGAACAUGAGCUCGUCCAGAUUUUCUUUCAACCCAAAUCUUGUGUUUAAAAACCAAAUUUCCGCUCGUAUUUCAGUAGCAUUGAUUGUUUAAAACCUUUAACUUACAUACUGAUGUUCUGAAUAAAUACAGACCUACUAAACGAUGAGCCUCAUCUACGAAGACUCAGUGUCCUCGUCCUCUCCACUGAAGGACACUUUCCAUCACCCUGCUCCCGUCCUUCCUCGUCCCCCCACCCACUCUUCGUACUGUAACUCAAGUCAACUGAGUGACUUCCUAAAGAACAAUCUCAACAACCUUUUUGCAGUAUGACUGAGGUAAAGGGCCCAUUCCAGUCCAAACCCAGAGCUCCCUGCCUCUCUCCUCCUGCCUGGCAGCAACCGGAGGAUAAAACAUGCUGUAUAUACUGUAAAUAUCACUCUUGUCUGUUGGUGUCUAUCUGUGUGAGUCAGUUGUGAAGUAGGGAAAUAGUAGCAGUUUGAAAAAAAAAUAGUAAAAAAAACAAACAAAAAAAACACUACAAUGAAAAGAAACAAUCUCAUCAUAGACACGAUGUUUCAGCACCCUGAAAAAACCUUGUUUUUCCUCAAAGUUCUAGAUUUUAAAGACGAUUAUUCUCAUUGAUAUCAAAAAACUUUGGACAUUUUUCUAAAUCUACAGUGGUGGAAGGUACCUAAGUAUGUACAAGCAUCAGAGUAUUUCUAUUUCAUUACUCAAACUUUGACGAUUUGAUGCCUUUCUUGGUCUCACAGUGUUGUUCCAAUAUUUAUAAACCUUGGCCCCUCGUUGUCGAAUGCCCCUAACAAAUGGGCCCAACCCUCAAAGACCCUCAUACAUCAUUAGUCGUCAUCGACAGCUUUUAUGUAAACGAGUGUGAUCGGACCGAUAUGCCGUCUCCAGUUGCGAGGGUUUCUCUUGCAUUCUGUCCUGUUAUUGUCACAAGUACCGUUUGUCUGAUGGAGACAGAAAAACACAGAAUGUAACAUUAGCAAGCAAACGAGCAGGGAUUGUUUUCUGAAACGUCCAUGUAGUGCGAACACUGUCCUACAACUCCAUCCCAACAAGAAUCAGGACACCUUCAGCUAGACGAUUAAAAAAAACAAAGGAGCGUAGUGGAGUUGGGCCGUCGGUUUAAUACAUUAAUAAAGGGUACAGAAGGUUUUGGCAUGGAGUAUUUUUUCUCAGCAGGGUUUCAGUCCGAGUACUCGCUCCACCACCGCUGACGCUAAAGUAACUCAGAUGAGAUUCAAGGUUUCUGAGGGUCGCUGAUGAACUGUAAUGAAAGAGUUCUUCGCCGAAAAGAGUCCCCGAUCAAUCGGGUGGCAGACGUUGCCUAGCAACAGAGGCCUGGACAGCGACGGACCUCUUUCCUUAUAUGGACACGUGUCUGUGAGGUGUGACAUAGUGGGUCACCAACCAAUCAUAUCGCUCCAUCCACACAUCCAUCAUGUUGUCUGUUGAUGUUACAGCUCAUACGAAUCACUGAGGGCGAAGGUGUGGGGUCACGAAGUCCGUCGUCACCUGUGUUGACCUGACGUAGUGUUGUGACCUUUGACCUUAGCACGACCUUUCCAUGGCCUUGACCUUUGGCGGGAGUCGCUGAUGAAGAGUUGAACGAUGUUCUUGUAUUGAGGACGCAUUGCAAACAACGACGAGACCAUUAAAAAAAAAAAAAAACAAAGUCGUAUCUAUUUUUCUUUAACGUAUCGACUCAGACAAUUUUCUCAGUCAAAUUUACGUUUACUUAGCAGCUCAAACAGCAGCGUCACUUUCACAUCGGUCCAAAUUUGAGUCAAACGCUUUCGAUUAAGUAGAAAUUCAGCAGUACGAAGUUUUCUAGCAGGAACGUGUGGCUACGAUCCAGGAAAUUUGAGCGGCGGUAGAUUUGUUCAGUCUGGUGGCGUUGGAGGCGACUCACUGUUUCGCCUUGUUAACGUCAUCAGGCUCAACAAGAAGAGUCCAACUCUUUCAGUCAGCGGCUCGGCCUCUGACCUUCUAUGCCUGCUAUGAACCCAGUAGUCUUAAUUCUUUUCUCUUUGCUUUAAACCAAAAGGAGCCUUCUGUUGACGCCGUUAGCGGUGCAGCCACACCUGCGUCGACACGCUGCUGAAAUCCUCUCCGUCCGACGCUGACGUGCAAUCAGUGAAAAGCAGCACAGACGAGUUUUGGACGUUGAGAAGAGAACGGAUCUUAAAAAAUGUAAAUUCAGUCUUUAUCUCUUCACCCAUGGAGAAUACGCGACAAAAAUCCAUGAACUGCUCCUUUAAUUUCCAACCCAAUCCACCUGGUUCCUCCGUCCAGAAAACACCGGAGUGGAUUUCCGUGAUGUGACUCGGGGUGGCUGCAGUUUUUAACCCUCUGUGUGUUUUUAAUGAGAUGCAGUGUGAAUGUGUGUGUGGUCAUUUCCCAUCAUGCCUCAUGUUAGACAGGAACUGUUUUUUUUAGUUUUUAUUUUUAAUGAAGUGCAGUAGACAAAUUAGGAGUUUGAACCCAACACGGACUGGUUUUCCUGAAAAGGAUCUGUGAGGUCCAGUUCAGUCAGAGGAUUUGUGCUGAAUCGUUUCAUUCUGUGAGAAGUCGUCACACAUUUUAGUUUUUAAGACUCGAUCUUCAACACAGAAAGAAGCCCCCUGACGUGUGAAAAGGCUUUUACUUCUGUAAAGAUUACGAGCUCAGACUUUCUCCAGGUUGAUGCACUGCGAGUGUUUUAACUUCUAAAUGAAACCUGCUGCUGCUUUGUGUUUCUGCCAGAUACUUUCAGGAGAACUGGUCCCGGUUGAGGUGGAAGGAGGUGUGAGGAGAACAGUGUUUUGAAGACAUGUUGUCGACAUGUUUUAAUGCUAACAACGAUCUGUAAUGUGACGUGUGUUGAUAUGAAACUUGUGUGUUUGUGGCGAUCAGGCUGCAGGCGUCGAAACAAAAAGCCUGACGUGCAUCGAGAAAAGAAGCGAUCGACUGAAAAUAAAAAGCUGAUGCAGUGGCAUCAAGUUAA